GACGAACGCUGGCGGCGUGCUUAACACAUGCAAGUCGAACGGAAAGGCCCUGCUUUUGUGGGGUGCUCGAGUGGCGAACGGGUGAGUAACACGUGAGUAACCUGCCCUUGACUUUGGGAUAACUUCAGGAAACUGGGGCUAAUACCGGCUAGGAGCUCCUGCUGCAUGGUGGGGGUUGGAAAGUUUCGGCGGUUGGGGAUGGACUCGCGGCUUAUCAGCUUGUUGGUGGGGUAGUGGCUUACCAAGGCUUUGCCGGGUCGCCGGCCUGAGAGGGUGAACGGCCACAGAGGGACUGAGAUACGGCCCAGACUCCUACGGGAGGGAGGAGGGGGGAAUAUUGCACAAUGGGCGGAAGCCUGAUGCAGCAACGCCGCGUGCGGGAUGACGGCCGUCGGGUUGUAAACCGCUUUCGCCUGUGACGAAGCGUGAGUGACGGUAAUGGGGAAAGAAGCACCGGCUAACUACGU
rnacentral:rRNA from 1 species